rnacentral:piRNA from 1 species
UCUGGAUUCGCUAGCCUAAGGCCAAUGAGC